AGAUAGGCUGGUUCAAAGUUUGAAAAAUCCGCCAUUUUGUUCUAUUUUUAGUAACAAGAUGGCCGAUUUUUCGAAUUUUGAACCAGUCUAUCU